GACGAACGCUGGCGGCGUGCCUAAUACAUGCAAGUAGAACGCUGAAGGAGGAGCUUGCUUCUCUGGAUGAGUUGCGAAAGGGUGAGUAACGCGUAGGUAACCUGCCUGGUAGCGGGGGAUAACUAUUGGAAACGAUAGCUAAUACCGCAUAAGAGUAGAUGUUGCAUGACAUUUGCUUAAAAGGUGCAAUUGCAUCACUACCAGAUGGACCUUCGUUGUAUUAGCUAGUUGGUGAGGUAACGGCUCACCAAGGCGACGAUACAUAGCCGACCUGAGAGGGUGAUCGGCCACACUGGGACUGAGACACGGCCCAGACUCCUACGGGAGGCAGCAGUAGGGAAUCUUCGGCAAUGGACGGAAGUCUGACCGAGCAACGCCGCGUGAGUGAAGAAGGUUUUCGGAUCGUAAAGCUCUGUUGUAAGAGAAGAACGAGUGUGAGAGUGGAAAGUUCACACUGUGACGGUAUCUUACCAGAAAGGGACGGCUAACUACGUG
rnacentral:rRNA from 1 species